rnacentral:rRNA from 1 species
GACGAACGCUGGCGGCGUGCUUAACACAUGCAAGUCGAGCGGAAAGGCCACUUCGGUGGUACUCGAGCGGCGAACGGGUGAGUAACACGUGAGUAAUCUGCCCUUCACUUCGGGAUAGCUUCGGGAAACCGAGAUUAAUACCGGAUACGACCAACCUACGCAUGUGGUGUUGGUGGAAAGUUUUUUCGGUGGGGGAUGUGCUCGCGGCCUAUCAGCUUGUUGGUGGGGUAAUGGCCUACCAAGGCUUCGACGGGUAGCCGGCCUGAGAGGGUGACCGGCCACACUGGGACUGAGACACGGCCCAGACUCCUACGGGAGGCAGCAGUGGGGAAUAUUGGACAAUGGGCGGAAGCCUGAUCCAGCAACGCCGCGUGAGGGAUGACGGCCUUCGGGUUGUAAACCUCUUUCAGCGCAGACGAAGCGAAAGUGACGGUAUGCGCAGAAGAAGGACCGGCCAACUACGUGCCAGCCGCCGCAGUAACAC